rnacentral:rRNA from 1 species
CGACGAGUUUGAUCAUGGCUCAGAACGAACGCUGGCGGCAGGCCUAACACAUGCAAGUCGAGCGAGGUAGCAAUACCUAGCGGCGGACGGGUGAGUAACGCGUGGGAACGUACCCUCUGCUACGGAAUAGCCCCGGGAAACUGGGAGUAAUACCGUAUGUGCCCUUCGGGGAAGGAUUUAUCGGCAAAGGAUCGGCCCGCGUUGGAUUAGGUAGUUGGUGGGGUAAUGGCCUACCAAGCCGACGAUCCAUAGCUGGUUUGAGAGGAUGAUCAGCCACACUGGGACUGAGACACGGCCCAGACUCCUACGGGAGGCAGCAGUGGGGAAUCUUAGACAAUGGGCGCAAGCCUGAUCUAGCCAUGCCGCGUGAGUGAUGAAGGCCUUAGGGUUGUAAAGCUCUUUCAGAUGGGAAGAUAAUGACGGUACCAUCAGAAGAAGCCCCGGCUAACUCCGUG